CAAAUGCCCUUGCUUUCUUCUCCGUUCCCCACGGGUCGAUCUUCAUCUGCGUACGCGUCGAUCAUCGUAGAAUGCUCCGCUUCGACUACACAUCUUCUGGAAUUUUCGUUCCGUUUCCACUUCUUUCUCUCAAAAGCUGGGCUUUUCCAUUUGCUUCCGGCAGUCUCCAUCGAACUCCAUUUCUCUCUCGCGAUUUUCCACGAACCACAACGUAUGCUACCUAUCCCGUCCCGAUUCGUAGAAAAUUCCUCAAGCGGCCUUCAUUUCAUGGAACGGUGUUUUCUUAUGGGCAGACCAACAGUGCGCAAUGGUUCCAAAAGAGACUCGGGUAUCAUUCAUCGAGCUGUUAGAGAUGUCAUUAUAAAAUUCAGAUGAUGUCCUGCUAGGAGUUUUUAAUUCUGAGUACCAACCUACAUGGAAUUGCACAAUGAGAAAAUUGACGACCUCUUUGCAUUAGAGAACCAAAAAUUGCAGAUUCAUGAGAGUUUGGAGGUUGCUACGAACCCUUUUCACAUAUUUAGUUAGCUUCUUUUAAGUGAACUAAAUUUUCGUGUGCAGUGAAUAUUUGUUGCUGGCCUCAUGGAGGAAAUUGUCAGUAAUGUCGAACAGGUGAUGAAGCUCAUUGAAUCUGGAGAAGUUAAUAGGCACUUUGGAGAACAAAUAUGAAUGCUUGGAGUAGUAGAUCUCACACAACAUUCAGAAUGGCAUUUGGAGUAGUAGAUUUCAAAGCCAUCUUCAUAUAGUAUACAUUUCUAUGCAGAGCUUCCAAUUAAAUUUUGGAAUUACAACUAACUCCCAAGUAAUGGUAUUUGUAUCUUAUGAGGUAGUUUUCUGAGGAAGUUGGGAUUUUUACUUAUUUUUUUUGUGUAAUCCCAAUUGAAAUUUCUCUCUCUCUCUCUCUCUCUCUCUCUCUUGGUGAGAUUUACAAGUAUCCUUUUCCGAUUGGUUACAAUGGUUCUGUUCAUCUCUCCAAUUGGUUUUUUUAUUCUCUCUAACCUUUUGUCUAAUUUAUUUUCAUUUUUUUGGGUGGCUUUCUGCUAAAGUUAGUAUGAGCUUUUCGCAUGACAUGGAUGAUAAGUACGAGAAACUCAUCCAGAGAAUGAACCUACCAAGGUGUAUGCAUAAAUCAUACCUUAAAUUCCUCAAAAUCACUUCAAUUAUUUACCAUGUCCCUUAUUGAGAUUUACGCCUCUUCAUCCAAUGUUGUUUUGUCUCAGGGUUGUAAUUGAUAACAGAGCGAACUAACAUGGAAUACUUCUGGAAGUUGUAGUACUUACUGAUCUCAACCUUAUUGUUACGAAAGCGUACAUAUCUUGGGAUGGUGGCUGGUUCAUGGAUGAUAAAAAUCCUUUUAUUACUGACUUUUUCAUCGCUGUAAAAAUUGUCUUUUUUUGUUUGAGGUAGAAACUGAUUAUGUGAUUUGGCUUUGAAAUCGAUUUUAAAUGCUGCUGAUCAAAAUGGAAACAAGGUUAUAGAUGAGGUUUUGGAUUAUAUUCUAAAAGCUAAUCCAAAAGUAAUUGUGUUUGCCAUUUGUUUUUUCUGCUUUUGCAGCGAAAGAUGUAAAAAUACUUUAUUCAAAGGUUACAUUUGUUUGGUCUACUGUGGUUGUAUUUUUUAUUUGAUUAUGCUUUGUGAUUGUGUGUAUAUUGUUUGUUCUGUUUCUUAAGAUUGUGAUUAAAAGAAACCUUUUUGAGAUUAUGUGAAAAUUCAUUUUGUGAAGGAAUUUGAUAGUUAAAUGUUUCUUCAGGUAUGAAUGGCUCCCAAAAGAAAGAAAAGACUGCAACUUCAUUAACUGACGGAAUCAAUCUCAACAUAAAGGAAAGUUUCUCAAAGUGUGCUUUAUUCCUAGGGUGAGAUUUCAGUUUAUUAAAUUUUUUUGUUCAUGUGGGUUUUGAAUUUUAUGAUAAGAUUUUUUCUUAAUUGGUACGCAAAAGCUUAUAAAAUCUGUGUUCUUUGGGUCUGACUUUUUAUUGUUUUGUUAUGAAAUUGUUAAUUGAUUGCUUAUUGUUAAUUUGAUACUUUUUUUUUGGUGCUA